rnacentral:ncRNA from 1 species
UUUUCGGCCCUACAGCUCGGAGUAGAGCAGUUUGGUAGCUCGCUCAUAACCUUGAGGCCAAAGGAAAAGAAAGCAAAAGCGAUUCUCGUAGUAGCGGCGAGCGAAAUGGGAGCAGCCUAAACUGUGAAAACGGGGGUGUGAGAGAGCAAUACAAGCAUUGUGCUGCUAGACAAAGCGGUUGAGUGCCGCACCCUAGAUGGCUAAAGUCUAGUAGCCGAAAGCAUCACUAGCUUACGCUCURACCCGAGUAGCAUGGGGCACGUGGAAUCCCGUGUGAAUYAGCAAGGACCACCUUGCAAGGCUAAAUACUCCUGGGUGACCGAUAGCGAAGUAGUACCGUGAGGGAAAGGUGAAAAGAACCCCGGGUGGGUAGUGGAAUAGAACGUGAAA